rnacentral:lncRNA from 1 species
AACUUACCAGCAAAUUUUAUUUUCGUGUUCUGUAGAUAUUAUGGUUCCACCAGGAGGAACACCCAGCCAUUCCUUUGAACUGGAAGCUAAGACACCCACACAUACCUAACACCACACCCAUUUACUCUGGAUUCCUUGUGUCCUUGAGUUAACUAAAAAUUGUUAUUGUUACUGGAGUGACAGUUCCACUUGACCAGUGGGGAAUGAGACUGCCAUUCAGCAAUGGAGAUGUUCUGAUUAUUUUUUGUUUACUUUACAUAAGCUAGAGUUACCUGUAAGAGAAAUUGCCAUUAGAUUGGCCUGUAGGCAAGUCUGUGGGGGCAUUUGUUUGAUUAAUGAUGUAUGUAUGUAUAUAUAUUCCUUUAAUGGGACAGGGCUACUGUGGGUAGUGCAACUCCUGGGUAGGUGCUGUAUAAGAAAGCAGGCUGAGUGAGCCAUGAGGAGCAAGCCAAGACUCAAGUCUUCCUCCUUGGUCUCUUCUUCAGAUCCUACUUCCAAGUUCUAAGUUCCUGCCUUGAGAUUCUCCUACCCUGGCUUCUCUUGGGGUUGGAAUGUAAAGUGUAAUUAAAACAAAUCCUUUUUCCUCAAGUUGAUUUUGGUCAGUGUUUUAGCAACAACAACAACAAUAACAAUUCAAACUAGAAUACAAGGAGAGGAAGUCUAUUCCUGGAUUUCCUUAUUAUUGCCAUGUCUGUUGAUUAAAACCCAUGGGAAGCUACAACGCAGUCCAAACAGGGUAAUAAAUGGCUCAGAUACUCCAGAAUGCAAGUUUGAAUGGCUUCUCAGGGUAAAGAACCAGUUGAUUUGGGUGUAUGAUGAUGUUUUUAUUUACUUAUAAGUUUUUUUAUACCAAAAUUUAUUUUAAAUUAUAAAAAUGAAGAUGCUUAGCACUUGCUGAAAGAGGAAGAAAUACAAAAUGACAUCAGAAGGUACUUAUAAAUAUGGCGUGCCUGUGGGUCCAGUUACAGAAGUGAGAAUUCUGAUUUUAUCGGGUCUUAUUUUAUUAAGAGUAUAUAUGUUGGGCUGGGUGUGAUGGCGUAUUCCUUUAAUGCCAGCGCUCAGGAGGCAAAGGCAAAUGUGUCUGUUAGUUCAAGACCAACUUGGUUGACAUAGUGAGUUUCAGAACAGCCAGGGAUGCUUAGACUCAAAAACAAACAAACAAACAAACAAACAAAAGAAUAUGUUUAUUUUUAUACUUGAUAGUGUUGAUUGCCAAUGUGACAAAUCUAGAAUCACCUGUGAGAUGGGCCCCUGAGAAUACCUGUGGACAGUUAUCUUGAUUGCAUAAAUGAGGUGGGAAGAUUCACCCACUGUUGGAAGUGCCAGUUCCUGACUGGAGUCUAUGAGCAUAUAAAAGUGGAGCAUUAACUGUCUGAGCACAAGCGCACAAGCGUUAACUCACUGUUCUCUGCUUUUGACUAUGGGUGUGAGAGCUGCUCAAGUUACUGCCAUAUUGACUUCCCACAGUGAUGGAAUUAUAAGCCAAAUAACCCCCCUUUCCUUUAUGUUGCUUUUACCAGGACAUUUUGUCACAACAGGAAAUGAAACUAAGGAAUAUACACACAUAUAAAAUAGAUAUUCAUGUUUUCUUUUAUCCCUUCUUUUACCAUGUAAUAUAUUUAUUGAUUUAAUAAUGCUGGGUAUUGCUAUGUAUUGUCAUAUUUAAUUAUGGUAUAAUAAGUGAAUAAGUUUUCCUCAAGGGACUUUGGCACCUAUUCUGUGGAAACAAUGUUUUCAUUUGUACAUGAAAAUCAUGUUAGGUGAAAUAACUUUGUUAGCGUCUUUAUUUAGAAAUUGUGUAUAACAUAGGUUCACCUGACUGAUGAAACGCACCUGUAUAUUGGUGAGGAAAUUUCCAUAGAAGGAAUGAUAUGUAGGGCAGUGACUUGGAGGGGAAAACACAGAUUCAAUGUGGGUAGCAACUCCCAACAUGGUCCUAGAUGAAGUCUCAGGAAAAGCAGCAGGCACAUACCUCCCUUCCUUUCUGUCUGAGUGUAUCUAUUGAUGCUACUACGAACCUCUGCUGUCUUUUUCCUCUUAACUUGGACUCAGUUCUAGUGACUCUUCAGGAGCUUCCAGUAUUUGGCCUCAGAUUGGGCCCCCUAAGGCAUUUAGCUUUUCAGAGUGGGCAGCUACCAAGAUCUCUACUUCUCUGGUACAACCAAGCAUUGUUGGAUCACCAGCCCCUAUCAUAUGUGACAAUCUAGUAAAUAUCUUCUUUAAUAACUUUCUUGGUUCGAUUCUGGAAAACCCUAAUAUGAUCUGAUUAAUUGAAAGAGAGAAAUUUUGCUCUUUUUCAGCUUUUGCAAAAUUUAAUCAAUUUUACAAAUUUCAAAGACAUGUACAGAAUGUUUGGGGGUUUGUUUGUUUUGUUUUGUUUUGUUUUGUUAUUUGAUCUGGAUCCAUACUACUACUUAAGAACUACCUACUUUUUAAAAGUUUCUGUGUGUAAACAUGUAUGUGCUGCAGAACAUGUGUGCAGGUCAGAAGGCAGCUUUGAGUGUCAGUUGCCACCUUCCAUCUUGCUGAGGCAGGGUCUCUCUUGUUUCUGCUGCAUCUGCUAGCUGGCCUGUGAACUUGGGGGAUCCUGCUUCCAUCUCCUAUCUUGUCAUAGAAAUAUGGGAUUACAGGUAUGCGAUUGCUGCAUCUGGGUUUUAGGAGUUUUAACUCAUGUCGUCUCACUGGGCAAGUCCUUUAUCUACAGCUGUUGCCCCAGACCAGAAUUAUAUAUUUUGCAC